GUGAGGAAUAUUGGUCAAUGGGCGCAGGCCUGAACCAGCCAAGUCGCGUGAGGGAAGACUGCCCUAUGGGUUGUAAACCUCUUUUAUAAGGGAAGAAUAAUGACUACGUGUAGUCAGAUGCCCGUACCUUAUGAAUAAGCAUCGGCUAACUCCGUGCCAGCAGCCGCGGUAAUACGGAGGAUGCGAGCGUUAUCCGGAUUUAUUGGGUUUAAAGGGUGCGUAGGCGGUAUUUUAAGUUAGUGGUAAAACGUCGGGGCUUCACCUUGAUUGGCCAUUAAAACUGGAGUACUAGAGUACAGACGAGGUAGGCGGAAUAAGUUAAGUAGCGGUGAAAUGCUUAGAUAUAACUUAGAACCCCGAUAGCGAAGGCAGCUUACCAGACUGUUACUGACGCUGAAGCACGAGAGCGUGGGUAGCGAACAGGA
rnacentral:rRNA from 1 species